AAGAAAGGGAAACCUGAAGCUCUACAGUCUCCUCUUUAUAUGUUGCCUUUAUGGUCAUGAUCCUCUCAUUCUGCACUGGAUUUAUCUGCAGCAUAGGCUCCCAACAGAAUCCCUGGAACUUUCAAGGUGUUGAUUCUGAGUAGGCUCAAGAAGAACUUUGAUUGUAUUCUUCCUUUGUGACACCAUAUCAAACAUCAACUUCUGCAAGUCCACAUCAUUGGAUACUAAAAUGUAGUUAUUAUCUUCCUUUUGAUACUUGAUCUCAAAACUUCCAGUUGUCAAAUUUAACCUCUUUGUCACUUCUUUCUCAAAAUCCAUUAUCCCUGAAGAGAGAGAGAGUGGAAACUUAAUCAUGUCUUCCUUAAAUGAUGCCUUUAUCAUAAUUGUGCCUUCAUUUUCUGGUGCUGGUGGUGCCUUUAUACUCUCAUUGUGCACUGGAUUUAUCUGCAGCAUAGGGCUACCAACAGAACCCCUGGAACUUUCAAGGUGUUGAUUCUGAGUAGGCUCAAGAAGAACUUUGAUUGUAUUCUUCCUUUGUGACAUCAUAUCAAACAUCAACUUCUGCAAGUCCACAUCAUUGGAUACUAAAAUGCAGUUAUUAUCUUCCUUUUGAUACUUGAUCUCAAAACUUCCAGUUGUCAAAUUUAACCUCUUUGUCACUUCUUUCUCAAAAUCCAUUAUCCCUGAUGAGAGAGAGAGUGGAAACUUAAUCAUGUCUUCCUAAAUGCUGCCUUUAUCAUAAUUGUCCUUCAUUUUCUGGUGCCGGUGGUGCCUUUAUACUCUCAUUCUGCACUGGAUUUAUCUGCAGCAUAGGGCUCCCAACAGAAUCCCUGGAACUUCCAAGGUGUUGAUUCUGAGUAGGCUCAAGAAGAACUUUGAUUGUAUUCUUCCUUUGUGACAUCAUAUCAAACAUCAACUUCUGCAAGUCCACAUCAUUGGAUACUAAAAUGUAGUU
rnacentral:lncRNA from 1 species